CCUACGGGCGGCAGCAGUGAGGAAUAUUGGUCAAUGGGCUUACGCCUGAACCAGCCAAGUCGCGUGAGGGAAGACUGCCCUAUGGGUUGUAAACCUCUUUUGUCAGGGAGCAACGCCGGCUACGUGUAGCCGGACUGAGAGUACCUGAAGAAAAAGCAUCGGCUAACUCCGUGCCAGCAGCCGCGGUAAUACGGAGGAUGCGAGCGUUAUCCGGAUUUAUUGGGUUUAAAGGUUGGGUAGGCGGAAUGCCAAGUCAGCGGUAAAAUCGCGGGGCUCAACCUCGCUCCGCCGUUGAAACUGGCGGUCUUGAGUGGGCGAGAAGUAUGCGGAAUGCGGGGUGUAGCGGUGAAAUGCAUAGAUAUCACGCAGAACUCCGAUUGCGAAGGCAGCAUACCGGCGCCCAACUGACGCUGAGGCACGAAAGCGUGGGUAUCGAACAGGAUUAGAUACCCUGGUAGUC
rnacentral:rRNA from 1 species